GCCCUAAGUAGCUUAAUGUUAAAGCACUGGUCUUGUAAACCAAUAAUAGAUCCAACGGUCUCUAGGGCA
rnacentral:tRNA from 1 species